UACGAAGGGGGCUAGCGUUGCUCGGAAUCACUGGGCGUAAAGCGCACGUAGGCGGCUUUUUAAGUCAGAGGUGAAAUCCUGGAGCUCAACUCCAGAACUGCCUUUGAUACUGGAGAGCUUGAGUCCGGGAGAGGUGAGUGGAAUUCCUGGUGUAGCGGUGAAAUGCGUAGAUAUCAGGAGGAACACCGGUGGCGAAGGCGGCUUCCUGGACCUGUUCUGACGCUGAGGAGCGAAAGCGUGGGGAGCGAUCCGG
rnacentral:rRNA from 1 species